rnacentral:rRNA from 1 species
UUACCAGACUCCUACGGGAGGCAGCAGUGGGGAAUAUUGCACAAUGGGGGAAACCCUGAUGCAGCGACGCCGCGUGAGUGAAGAAGUAAUUCGUUAUGUAAAGCUCUAUCAGCAGGGAAGAAAAUGACGGUACCUGAGUAAGAAGCCCCGGCUAACUACGUGCCAGCAGCCGCGGUAAUACGUAGGGGGCAAGCGUUAUCCGGAUUUGCUGGGUGUAAAGGGAGCGUAGGCGGGAUGGCAAGUCAGAUGUGAAAUCCAAGGGCUCAACCCUUGAACUGCAUUUGAAACUGUCGUUCUUGAGUACUGGAGAGGUUGACGGAAUUCCUAGUGUAGCGGUGAAAUGCGUAGAUAUUAGGAGGAACACCAGUGGCGAAGGCGGUCAACUGGACAGCAACUGACGCUGAGGCGCGAAAGCGUGGGGAGCAAACAGGAUUAGAUACCCCAGUAAU